CCCUUAGGUGUUCUGGGCCGCACGCGCGCUACACUGAUGCGUUCAACAAGUUUCCUUGGCCGAGAGGCCUGGGCAAUCUUCUUAAUAUGUAUCGUGAUAGGGAUAGAUUAUUGCAAUUAUUAAUCUUGAACGAGGAAUUCCUAGUAAACGCAGAUCAUCAAUCUGCAUUGAUUACGUCCCUACCCUUUGUACACACCGCCCGUCGCACCUACCGAUUGGAUGUUCCGGUGAAGCCUCGGGAUGAGGACUGGUGCCUUUAUUGGCAUGAGUUGUUCAGAACUUGUCUAAACCUUAUCAUCUAGAGGAAGGUGAAGUCGUAACA
rnacentral:rRNA from 1 species